GAUGAACGCUAGCUACAGGCUUAACACAUGCAAGUCGAGGGGCAGCAUGCUGAUAGCUUGCUAUCAGUGAUGGCGACCGGCGCACGGGUGAGUAACGCGUAUCCAACCUGCCUGUCACUCAGGAAUAGCCCGGUGAAAACCGGAUUAAGUCCUGAUGAUAUCAUUAGAGGGCAUCUGACGAUGAUUAAAGGUUACGGUGACAGAUGGGGAUGCGUCUGAUUAGCUUGUUGGCGGGGUAACGGCCCACCAAGGCGACGAUCAGUAGGGGUUCUGAGAGGAAGGUCCCCCACACUGGUACUGAGACACGGACCAGACUCCUACGGGAGGCAGCAGUGGGGAAUAUUGCGCAAUGGGGGCAACCCUGACGCAGCAACGCCGCGUGAAGGAAGAAGGUCUUCGGAUUGUAAACUUUGUCUUUAGGGAAGAUAAUGACGGUACCUAAGGAGGAAGCUCCGGCUAACUACGUG
rnacentral:rRNA from 1 species